CACAAUCCCAUUUUUAUAUUAUUUUUCUCUCUUCCUCUCACGUUGCUCGGCGUUUUCUCGCAAGGGAGAUUAUUUUCUUUUUCUUCAGAUUAUAUUGACAAAGAUAGUGGUGAAAAAGGAGUUGUGAAGGGGAACUUGUUAUUCAAGACACAAGGAGCGAGUCCGGCCGAGAAAGCACCAGAGGUGUAACUAUGGUGUAUGAGACACCAUCUUUUACGUUGCCUCUUAUUUUGGAUUAUACAAUGUAUCUUGUGCCAACUUAGGACAUAUCUUCUUUGUGAAGCAUGUAAACUCUAAUCCUUUUUAUUAAAAGUAU